UACGGAGGAUGCAAGCGUUAUCCGAAAUGAUUGGGCGUAAAGCGUCCGCAGGUGGCUGUGUAAGUCUGCUGUUAAAGAGUGAGGCUCAACCUCAUAAAGGCAGUGGAAACUACAUGGCUAGAGUGCGUUCGGGGCAGAGGGAAUUCCUGGUGUAGCGGUGAAAUGCGUAGAGAUCAGGAAGAACACCGGUGGCGAAAGCGCUCUGCUAGGCCGCAACUGACACUGAGGGACGAAAGCUAGGGGAGCGAAUGGG
rnacentral:rRNA from 1 species